UACGGGGGGGGCAAGCGUUGUUCGGAAUUACUGGGCGUAAAGGGCUCGUAGGCGGCCAACUAAGUCAGACGUGAAAUCCCUCGGCUUAACCGAGGAACUGCGUCUGAUACUGGAUGGCUAGAGGUUGGGAGAGGGAUGCGGAAUUCCAGGUGUAGCGGUGAAAUGCGUAGAUAUCUGGAGGAACACCGGUGGCGAAGGCGGCAUCCUGGACCAAUUCUGACGCUGAGGAGCGAAAGCCAGGGGAGCAAACGGG
rnacentral:rRNA from 1 species